UACGGAGGGUGCGAGCGUUGUCCGGAAUCACUGGGCGUAAAGGGCGCGUAGGCGGCGCGGAAAGUCAACGGUGAAAGCUCGGGGCUCAACCCCGAGUCGGCCGUCGAUACUUCUGUGCUUGAGCACUGUAGAGGCAGGUGGAAUUCCGGGUGUAGCGGUGGAAUGCGUAGAGAUCCGGAAGAACACCGGUGGCGAAGGCGGCCUGCUGGGCAGUAGCUGACGCUGAUGCGCGACAGCGUGGGGAGCAAACAGG
rnacentral:rRNA from 2 species